rnacentral:rRNA from 1 species
UACGUAGGGUGCAAGCGUUAAUCGGAAUUACUGGGCGUAAAGCGUGCGCAGGCGGUUUGCUAAGACAGGUGUGAAAUCCCCGGGCUUAACCUGGGAACUGCGCUUGUAACUGGCAAGCUAGAGUGUGGCAGAGGGGGGUGGAAUUCCACGUGUAGCAGUGAAAUGCGUAGAGAUGUGGAGGAACACCGAUGGCGAAGGCAGCCCCCUGGGCUAACACUGACGCUCAUGCACGAAAGCGUGGGGAGCAAACAGG